rnacentral:rRNA from 1 species
GAUCGAACGGGAGAUUCAUCGUCAGCGGCGCUGGCUUCGCGUCGGUCGGCGAUGUCCCGCGGAGUCCUCGCGGCUCGCGCGCGGGCACGCUACCGUGCGCCGAUGUCCGGUGCUCGUCGUCGUGCACUUCUCCCCAAGUAGAACGUCGCGACCCGCUGGGUGUCGGUCUACGGCCCGGGUGCGGUGCCUGUCGCGUCGCCGGUAAAACGGCACGCGACAAACCCCCGGUCGCCCGGCCGGCUGCUCGGCGGUACGCGCAAGGUAUCAGGCCGCACUAUUUACGGUGCGUCGAGACCGUCGCAAGCGCGCGCCACGGUACUCGGAGGUUACGGACUUUGCGCCGUCCCCGGUCCUGGCCCGCUGUUGGUUCAAGUACGGUACACCUUCGACAGGCCUGCGAACGUCUCCCGCGGUUUCGCGGGAGACCGAUACCGGUCRGCGACGCUACUGCUUUGGGUACUCUUAGGACCCGUUUG